GCCAGUAUAGCACAAGGAAAGGUGCGCAACUCUAGAAUCAGAAAAAUACUAAUCAGUACAAUAAUAAGAUUGAAUUAUACACUCAUUAGGGAGAUGAAGUUAAAAGUUUUAAAAGCCUUGUCAUGACUUUUUCUUUUUGUUGGAUUCUCCCCCUCUGCGUUUAAUUUGUCAUGCCCAGUGGAUUCAUUCUGCUGGGUUUCCUAGGGUUGUGAUCCUCAUUCUCUUUUCCUAGGGUAUUGUCUAAAAUUUUUUGGAGUGCCGGUUUGGUAUUCAUGAAGUUCCUGAGGUGCUCUUUAUCAUGAAAGUAUCUUAUUUCUCCAUCAAUUUUGAAAGAUAGUUUUGCUGGGUACAUCAAUCUGGGUUGGAGGCUGUUUUCCUUUAGGGCUUGAAAUACAUCACUCCAAGCUCUUCUUGCCUUGAGGGUUUGCAUUGAGAAGUCUGCUGUGAUUCUGAUGGGCUUUCCUUUGUAUGUGAUUUGUUUCUUUUCUCUCACUGCUUGCAGAAUUUUGUUCUUCUGUUGGAUUUCUGGAAUCCUAACUGUUAUAUGCCUAUGUGUAGAUUUUUUUGAUUAAGGCUAGCUGGAGUCCUAUAUGCCUCACUUAUCUGUAUGUCAAGUUCUUUUCCCCUGCUUGAGAAGUUUUCUGCCAUCACUUCUGUGAACAGUUUUUUUUAUGUCAUCUGCACUCUCUCCUGUUUCUUCAUUGACUCUGAUCAGUCUUAUGUUAUUCUUCUUUGCAUCGUCUAGCAGCUGCUGGAUUGAUUUCUCAUGUUCCCUUACAAUUUUAAAGCAAUUUUUUCUUUUCCUGUUCACUAAUUGCAAUCUUAUCUUCUAUAUGUGAAAUUCUAUUCUCACACUGGUUCAUUCUGCUGCACAGACUUUUGAUGGAGUUCUUAAUCUCUUGGAAAUCUGUUUGUAUCUGUUUUAUGGAUUCCAUUUGUUUCCUAUGUUGGGAUUCCAUCAUGUUCCUCAGAUCCUCUAUUUUUUUAUCUGUGUCCUCUCUAGAUUUAUUAAUCAUGUCUUGCACCAUGAGCAAAAUCUUUGCUGUUAUCUGAGUAAUUAUUUCUGAUUUCAUUUUUCCCAGAUCCUCUUUUGUUGCCAGUUCAGAGAGUCCAGGUGGUUGAGUAUCAGAGUGUUCCAUCUCAUUUCCCUUUGGGGUUGCUGUAGGUGAUCUGGAACUCUGUUUUUGAGGCUUGUUUAUGUGUUUCCUCAUUUCCACGGUGGGGGCGGGGUGCUUCUGGCACCCACAUGGCUCACCUUCUCUGCCCUAGGAGCUUGGGAUGGAAGCGGGGGAGCUUCCUUCCAGGUUCUGGGACCAGCUCAGCUUCUCUGCCCUAGGAGCUUGGGAUGGUGGCGAGGAGCUUCCUUGUGGGUGCUGGGACUGGCUGAGCUUCUCUGCCCUAGAAGCCUGAGAUGGAGGCGGGGAGCUUCCUUCUGGGUGCUGGAACCAGCUGAGCUCAAGACCUAUUACUCAAUGUGUCACAGGGGUGUCAGACAUCUGAAGUCCUGAUGGAGGCAGCUUUCUCAUUCAUGAGAAGGUAUCUGAAAACUCCAUACCCACACUGUCCACCGGCCAUUAUUUCAUCUUUUCAGGAAGGUAAAGAAUACUGCUUUUUACAUCAUCCUGGGGUCUCAUCUACCUGAAGCCCACCAUCAGCCAAUCGCACACGUGUCCAGAGCUCUGCAGGUGGAAGCAGCCGGCGCAGAGGCCGUAGGUGAAAGGGAUGGUUCAUUCUGUUGCACAGACUUUCAAUGGAGUUUUUAAUCUCCUGGAAAUCUGUUUGUAUCUGUUUUAUGGAUUCCAUUUGUUUCCUAUGUUGGGAUUCCAUCAUGUUCCUCAGCUCCUCUAUUUUUUUUUAAUCUGUGUCUGCUCUAGACUUAUUAAUCAUGUCUUGCAGAAUGGACACAGUCUCUGUUGUUAUCUGAGAAAUUAUUUCUGAUUUCACUUUUUCCAGAUCCUCUUUCAUUGCCAGUUCAGGGGGUCCAGGUGGUUGAGUAUCAGAUUCUUCCAUGUCAUUGCCCUUUGGGGUUGCCUUAGGUGAUCUGGAAGUCUGGUUUUGAGACUUAUGUGUCUUGUUGUUUCAACAGAUGCAGCCUGCUUCACUUUUGUUGUGGUGACUUUGUGCUCGCCCAGUGGUCUUCAAUUCUCAAUAAGCCACCAAGAGGCAUUUUCUCUGCUGCUCACCACCGCACCAAUUCCUGGGUUCAGAAUGGUGGCCUUCUGGAUCCAAGACUGCCCUAUUUUCCGUGUGGGGUUCUGGCUGGGGCCUAUGCACACUUGGGUGGGCCUCUGGGUGUUGCUUGUGCAUCUGUGAAGCUCUUUUACAGGUGGGUCUUUGGCUAGGGACCAUGGGGCCAAGCUGCUGGGGUCUGGGCGGGGCCCUGCCCAGCGCAGCUCUGGUCCAUGUGGGCUUCUGGCUGGGAUAUGUGUGCACUUACUGAUGGGGUCUAGGUGGGCCUCUGGCUGUUGCUUGUGCACAUGUGCAGCUCUUUUCAGGGCAGGGCCCUCGCUAGGAUCUGCAUGUCCCAGCACAGUUCUGGUCCAUGCAGGUUUCUCACUGGGAUAUGCGUGCAUCUCUUAAUUCACUUUUGAGAACUCUGUGGAGUUUUCAUGCAUAGAAUUGAAUACAGAAGCAGAAGAAACCACCAUAAGCCUGUACUGCUGCUGGUAUUCCAGCAUCCUAAGCCCAAACAGCACCCCUUGGUAGUAAGUCCAAAAGUUGUUAAACAGGUAGGUCAUUAAAAGAGGAAUAUCUGUAUACCACUGUCCAAUUAAAGAACCCUUGGCUCUCAAAAACUCCUCCUAGAAGCAUCAGUUUAUCAGAGAGAGCGUCAGUCUGAGUGGCUUUGUCUAUAAAAGCACCCCUGUCCUGCCUCAAACAAUACUGAACUACUCUUAAACACUGGUUAUGUAAAAUCAGGUCAUGUAUGGUUGUUACAUGAAAUUGCAGGACAGUAAAACUAAGUGCCUGAAACAGCAAUAGCCAAUCCAAUGCUUAGAUAAGACCACAGCAAGGUUAAACUUUCAUGAAAUGUGUCAAAAGACAAAAGUACAAUAAAUUUAGAGAUCUCAAU
ensembl:lncRNA